rnacentral:rRNA from 1 species
CCCUACGGGCGGCAGCAGUGGGGAAUCUUGCGCAAUGGGCGAAAGCCUGACGCAGCCAUGCCGCGUGAAUGAUGAAGGUCUUAGGAUUGUAAAAUUCUUUCACCGGGGACGAUAAUGACGGUACCCGGAGAAGAAGCCCCGGCUAACUUCGUGCCAGCAGCCGCGGUAAUACGAAGGGGGCUAGCGUUGCUCGGAAUUACUGGGCGUAAAGGGCGCGUAGGCGGACAUUUAAGUCAGGGGUGAAAUCCCGGGGCUCAACCGCGGAACUGCCUUUGAUACUGGGGGUCUUGAGUGUGAGAGAGGUAUGUGGAACUCCGAGUGUAGAGGUGAAAUUCGUAGAUAUUCGGAAGAACACCAGUGGCGAAGGCGACAUACUGGCUCAUUACUGACGCUGAGGCGCGAAAGCGUGGGGAGCAAACAGGAUUAGAUACCCGUGUAGUCCU